rnacentral:rRNA from 1 species
GGGUGCGAUCAUACCAGCAAUAAUGCACCGGAUCCCAUCAGAACUCCGAAGUUAAGCUUGCUUGGGCGAGAGCAGUACUAGGAUGGGUGACCUCCUGGGAAGUCCUCGUGUUGCCCCUC